UACGGAGGGUGCAAGCGUUGCUCGGAAUUAUUGGGCGUAAAGGGUAGGUAGGUGGUCUUAUUUGUCUGGGGUGAAAGCCUUGAGCUUAACUCAAGAAGUGCCCCAGAAACGGUGAGACUGGAGUCCUGGAGAGGGUCGUGGAAUUCCCGGCGUAGCGGUGAAAUGCGUAGAGAUCGGGAGGAACAUCCGUGGCGAAGGCGGGCCUCUGGGCCGAUACUGACGCUGAGGAGCGAAAGCGUGGGGAGCGAACAGG
rnacentral:rRNA from 1 species